rnacentral:lncRNA from 1 species
AGAGUUGUGGGGAGGACGGACUGAGGGCCAAAGCAUGUCCUCCCUCCCUGGGUGCAUGAGUUUGGCUGCAGCGCCAGCUGCAGCUGACUCUGCAGAGAUUGCUGAGCUGCAGCAGGCGGUGGUUGAAGAGCUGGGUAUCUCUAUGGAGGAACUUCGUCAGUACAUUGAUGAGGAACUGGAAAAGAUGGACUGUAUACAGCAGCGCAAGAAGCAGCUCGCAGAGCUGGAGACGUGGGUACUACAGAAAGAGUCUGAAGUGGCUUAUGUUGAUCGGCUGUUUGAUGAUGCAUCCAGGUAGGGAUUCCAGGAAGCAGAAGUAAAUGUCCAUCUGUGUCCUCCUUGGAGUGACUGUUGUUGUCAUUGUCCUAAGCACUUUAUACUUUGGCGACUUCAGUCAGGUGGGGCCUUACUCUUCCUCUGAGUUUGUAAUGCAGAGUUGCAACACAACACUUUUUCCCUGUGGGUAGCUGCUAUGUGAUCAGCAGUAGUUAGGUUAAAGGCUUGAAUUCCCUUGUCUUCCUCCUGGACUGACCUUCCUUCCUAAGAUCCCCAGAAAGUGAAGAUUGUAGAGUUGCUGUCUUUUCUGUUUUUCUGAGACAGAAUCCCAAUACCUAAAUCUUGCUGGCCUGCAACUUGCAGAGAUCUGCCGACUUUUGCCUCCUAAGAGCUGCAAUGAAAUGAUCCUAGCUUAUGCUUGUUGAGUUGAUUGGGGUUUCAUGAGUAACAGAGUGUGGCCUUGAAUUUGCUCCAUGAUCUUGACUCAUGGAUAAUCCUGUCUUUUUAUAUUUUGAGUGCUGGGACUAUAGUUGUGGGCCACCAUGCCCAGUUUAUUUUGUGUUUGGGUUAUCAAUUAGGGCUAAGCAAUCAUUUGCCAGUUCAGCUACAUCCUCAGCCUCUGUUAUCUUUAAUUGUGAAACAUUAAAAUUCAUAAUUCCUCCAUAAUAUAUGUUUCAGAUCACCAGUGCAAUUUAAGAUUUUGGAUUGUUGAAAGACUAGUUGAAAAUUGAUGCAGCUAUUCAUUAUAUUGACGAUAUUUGGCUGGACUCACAGAGACCAAACUACCUCUGUCUCUUUACUGGUGAGAUUAAAGGGAUAUUUCACAACACCCAGCAAAAUGAAGUUGCUAUUUAAAGCUGUCUACUUAGUUCCCAAAGCCACAUAGAUAAUAAGUAUUGGAUAUUCUUAUUUUUGUAAUAGCGGGUGAAAACUGAACUCUGGCAAGUUGUUUCAUAGAAUAAUUGCAUGGAAACAAACUUUAUGUGGAAAAAGCAUUCUAAAUACUUUGGAACAUGUAGAGCAAACAGUCUAUAUUUAAAUAUACAUAAUUUCCUGUUACUGUGUUGUGUUUUGUGUGUGUAUGUCGGGGGGGGUUGUUUUUUGGUUUUUCUUGUUUCUGUUUUUGUUUUGUUUUAUUUUUGAGACCGUUUCUUUCUAACUCUGGCUGUCCUGGAACUACCUCUGUAUACCAAAUUGGCCUGGAACUCAGAGAUCUGCUUGCCUCUGCCUCCUGAGUGCUGGGUUCUGUUUUUGUUCUGUCUAAAGGUUUCUUACUCUGUAGGCCAUGCUGGCCAUGAACCACUCACUGUAUUGACCAAAGUGACCUCAAACCUAGCUAGCCUUGGUUCCUCAGGCUAAGGACUAGGAUUACAUGUGUGAGCUCAGAGGCUAGGUAUUGUAUAAAUGUAUAUACAUUGUAAUGCUCUUGUACCGCACUGUCUCCACUGGCUUUGAUCUUUUCUGCAUGUGUUCCAAUAUCAGGGAAGUGACUAACUGUGAGUCUUUGGUGAAGGAUUUCUACUCUAAGCUGGGACUACAGUAUCAUGACAGUAGCUCUGAGGAUGAAGCUUCCCGGCCCACAGAGAUCAUUGAGAUUCCUGAUGAAGAUGAUGAUGUCCUCAGUAUUGAUUCAGGUAAAUGAUGAAGCUUUGGUCAGAAAAGUCUUAGAAUGGAAGCUGAAAUACUGGAAGACAAGUAUGUUGCACGUAAAGAAUCACAUUGUCAUUACUUACUAUGCCAAAUACCUGACUGACUUAUUAUGACAACAAGUAAGUAUUCUUAGCAUCGUAAGUGUUUUCUGUAUUCUGAUUGCUUCCUUUCCCCAUUUCAGAUAAGGUAUACUUAUUUUCUGUCUUUUCCCCCAUGUGUUUGUGUGUAGUUUGCCUAUGUCUGAGUUUCUUUUUCAGUUAUGGUGAUCAAAUAAUCUGACAAAAUCAUUUGAAGGUUAAGGGGGCUGAUCCUGGUUCCAAGUUCCAGAUCAUAUCCAUGAUGGUCGGGGAAAUCACAGUGGCAAAAGCCUAAAGCAUCUGGUCACAUUGUUCUGCAAUCUGGAAACAGAGGGAGUGUCUCAUCCUGCUGCUCCUCCAAUCACUCUCUUUAUUUGUGUAUUUAUGAAGUCUAUGGAAUGGUACCACUCACAGUGGGCUGGUCCAUGAACACCAUGAAACAUUUAGUAAAUACUUCCCUUGGUAACUUUUUUUUUUGUUUGUUUUGCAUUGUGGUUCUGAUGUGUGCUAUGUAUGUAGUACAUGAAGCAGUAAACUCUAAGCAUCAAGUUACAAC